GAAUUCAAUAACUUUAAUUGCAGGCCAGAGAUGCUAGACAGGGCAAGAAACAAAGCUCGAGUUAAAGCUUGUUACAUCAUGAUUGGACUCUCAAUUGUUGCCUGUUUUGCAGUGAUUGCCUCAGCUAAAAAGGCUGCUGCUCGUCACGAGUCCUUGACCAGCUGGAACCUGGCAAAGAAGGCCAAGUGGCGGAAAGAGGCCGCGCUGGCAGCGGAGUCGAAGACAAAGUAACCUCGUGUGAAGUGCCAAAAGUCCUUGUAGGAGCAAAAUUAACUGUUGCUGAGCGAUUAGCGAAUUUCACCAAUAAAUGGAAAACUGUAGUAUUGCACACGCUGGAGCCAACAAGGGUAGUUACAGGAUCACAAAAAAGAAAUGGAGGGUCUCUUUUAUUAGAGAGAUACUCGGUGCACUUGUUGCAAAUUAUUAAAAUUAGAAUGUUUUGCACAUGAUUAAAAGCAGUAAUUAAUUUCAAAGGAGAUGAGGUAGUUUCCUAAGAAUGUCAGGUAUGGGGGGAGCCAAGUUUCCACAAUCUGUCUUGAAAACUUUCUUUUUGGGCUUAUCUUGAGCCGUUACACAGGUAAGAGUUCCAUACAGAAAAACCAGCUGUGUUUUUCAACGAAAGGCUGAAUGCAGCAAAGCCCAAGCAGUAGUGAAGUGAAGGUACGAAAACCGCAAAAAUAAGGCAGCUUAUGCAAUUCACUCUUGCAAUUCUAAAUAAAGAACAAACUGUAAUCAGCCAGAAUGUUACAAGUCUUACACACCGAGAAAAGAAGGUUUGGAAACGCGAGGGGAGGGGAAGGGGCCCGGUAAUUCCACCAAUUCUCCAGUCCUUACAAACUUCAUGGGAAUUCCCAAAGAAGCGGUCGGUUCUGCAGGCAGAGACAGGACUGUGAUUACCGUCCAAGUGUAUGUUUGGUUAGAUGUUUACAAAACGAGUUUUCUGUCUGGUGACAGCGCCUAGUUUUACAGUGCACCCAUCAGCCAGUUUGAGUUCGUCUGCCUCAAUGCUGUAUUCAAAAUGGCAUUUGUGUUCUCUAGUUUAAGAAGCCACACUUACCGAAACACUAAAUAAAUACAAUAAACGUCUGUAAAAUAGGUUUUAUUGGUUUCUGUACGGUAUUUGGAGAUUUAACAUUCCAUAAUAUUGCAUACUACUCAUAUGUGUUUGUUACAGUAACGGGCCUUUGGCCUGGAUUUAAAGAUGCACUAUUACUAUCUGAAGUUAGUGUAGGUGUUUUAGUUUCCACACAUUAUAUGGAGAUAUUGUGCCAUAAGUAACUGAAAUUUCUCAUUCCAGAUUUCAGUGAACUCUUGAGGUCACCGUUAAACUUCACGGAUCAAUCGGCAGACCUACUACAAAAAUCCUCAGUUGCACAAUUUUAUAAAUUUAAACCAACUGAGAAUUAACUGUGGAGGAAAGACAAUAGUGCAUCUUUUUUUUUUUUUUUUUUUUAAAGACAGACCCGACAGUAAAUAUUUUCCAGUUGCAAACUUGUUCUACAGCUAACUUAUUUCUGUGCCAACAUUAUUACUAUUUUCUGAUUGCUGCUAGCAACAGUGUUUAAAGCAAAUACUAGAAAAUUAAAAAGCUGUAUCAACCAGUCCUCAGACAAAAGUGCAACGAUGAAAAAAUUAGAUACGACUCAGUGUAUCGAGUAGGGAACGAAGAAAAAUAAUCUUAUGCUUUGCAUAGUUGCAUAGAUUAGCUAGUUAGUAUUCACAUUUAAGCAGAACAAAUGGUACCCUUUUAAUUAAAACCAAAAUGACAAAAAAAACUAAAACCCUGUAUUUUUAAACAGACUUUGUAACUGAUGGGGCACUUCAGAUUCCAUAUAAAACACCGAACUUAAAGAGAUUUUCUUCUCUCAGUUGUUUUUUUGUUUUUCCUCCACACUUGUUUCGUCUGUUUAGGGAACAUCAUCAUAUUCACGCCCCUACCUGCAAAUGACCCCACCAGAGUGGACCUUAAGUCACCAUCUCCGGUUUUAUAUUGUUCAUUUAUGUGCUUUUAACAAAGUGUGAUGUAAACCCAGCGAUAAAAUAGGAGAGGCCAUCCUGUACAUUUAUCCUUUAAAGAAGAAUUGUCAUUAUUAUUUUUUAACAAUCUUAGGGUAAACCAAAUGUUGACUUUAAGUAACGAUUUUCAUUAGUCAAAGUCCGUCAAUUUUAGUUCCCUUUUAAACCGUUACAUUUAAAUGUAUGAGGCAUGAAAUAUAGUUUAUCUAAAUGCGUAAAGUGCACAUAUACAGAAUAAUAUAUCCACAAAACUGAAGACAUUCUUUCAAAACAAAUAUAAUACUUUAAAUGUCCCCUCUUUUCCUCAUUUUCAAGUCUUUUGAUCAAUAUUUUUAUAGUUCAGAUUUGGUUUAAAUUAGAGAGGCUUAUAAAUGCAGUUUUCCCAGGGUUUUCCAAAUAAAAAGCAGGCACAGCUGGUUAUGUUAUCAAAACAAGGUUGUUAGAAACAAUGGAAUACCCUGUUACCUGAAUAAUUUUCUUACACCAGAAGAACACUGAAAUUCAGCAUUUACUAGAUUUCCAUGAUUGUUACCCUGUACUUUGAACAGAUGGGGCGGGGGGGGGAGGAAGGUCAGCAUAUGAAAACCUGAAACUAUGAGAGUGAAAAGGGCACAAAUACAAUCAUCUAACAUUAUAUGAAAAUUUGGCAGCUGUACUCAGUAUUACCACACUAUUCAAAACUGUUGUAUGCUGUACAAAUCUAGGUUUAAAGUGUCAUUUGCUAAAAUAUCUUAUUAUUCAGAGCUCAUAAAGUAACAGCACUCCUAUAUACACUCCUUACACUUCUAUCUUCCACUAAAAAGACUUCAAAAAGAGGUUUCUUCCCUCCCAGUUACAUCUUAGUCAAAACUGACCGUUAAUCUUAGAAAAUCCACUUCAAGUCCCACAUUCAAUUACAAUACAGUAUAUAUUGCUGUAACAUCAAAGUGAAACAUCUUAGAAUCUUAAACUUGCAUGUAAAAAAAAUUCUAAAUAUAAAAUGGUACUGUAAAUGAUACCACCUUUAACCUGUAUUUUUCAGUGCAUUAAAAUAUUGUUUAGUGACAAGCACAGUGCCAUGGGGCAAGUAAUUUGAAGUUUAAAUUGCAGCUUUUUAUGAAGCAUGAAAUGCUCUCAUAUGUCAAGGAUUUCACUUAAUCCAGGAGUUUGAUAUUAAUACAUUAAUUACAGGUAAUAAAAAAUAAUACUUCAGAGUUAACCCAAAGUAUUAAUUUCUCCAAAUGAGAUAUACUACUAAUACACCAGAAACACUACUUAUACGCAAGUCAAAGCAGAGUAUACAUUUUUCUGUAUUCAAAAUUGUUAAUGCAAAUAUUAGAAUUCUAUUUCUUUUAGUGUUUAACAGCAAACACUGUGUAUUGUAGAGCCUAAAUAUUUAGAUGACAGUAACUUCUAGUUAGUUUUGGUGUCCACAUACUUAAUGCUAUUUACAGUACAACAAACUUUUUCUUCAACUGGAAAGGAGCGAUUUACUAUUCAUUCUUCACUGCAGUAUUUCUAUCGUCUUACCAAAAGAAAACCAAGUUAGUUAACUUAAAGAACAAUUCAAGUGGCGGCAGCUUAUUUGGUCAAAAAAAUAACAUCUACUAUCUAAACUUUUAAGAAGCUACUGUACUAGAAAGGCAAACAUUGCAAUGUUUCUCAAACUGAAGUGGUGUUACCACAUUUUGACAGGAGACGGCUGUAAACCAUCUGCUUGGCGACUUCUGCAAAUCACCAUCUCUGUCAUUCAUAAUCGCAGCAUUCUUCUGGUAACUACAGCAGCUGCUUCCACUGCAAAGUACUGUACUUGUGGCUGACUUUUAACGCCAUUUAGCAGCCUUCAUUACAGAGCCAACAUCAAAUGACCAGCAAGCUCUCUGCUGAUUCCAAUUUGAAAACCUCUGAAACAGUCCUCUUCCCACAUAAUUCAGAAAAAGCUUUUUCAUAUAUUCAAUAUUAUAUUAGGUAAUUAGCAUUAUAUAUGUAUAUCUAUUAAAUACAUUUUAUAAAUAAAUUCCAACAGUGUGUUGUAAAGUAAUGCAUAAAAGUUUCACAAUUUAAAUAAAUAUUUUUCACAUUCCAA